AGGCCACUGCUAUCGGGGUUCGAUUAAGCCAUGCGAGUCGAGAGGUGCAAGACCUCGGCGCACUGCUCAGUAACACGUGGAUAACCUACCCUCAGGUGGGGGAUAACCCCGGGAAACUGGGGAUAAUACCCCAUAGACCAGGGACGCUGGAAUGCCCCCUGAUCGAAAGGUCCGCCGCCUGAGGAUGGGUCUGCGGCCGAUUAGGUUGUUGUUGGGGUAACGGCCCAACAAGCCUUUGAUCGGUACGGGUUGUGAGAGCAAGAGCCCGGAGAUGGAUUCUGAGACACAAAUCCAGGCCCUACGGGGCGCAGCAGGCGCGAAAACUUUACAAUGCGAGAAAUCGUGAUAAGGGAACCCCGAGUGCCCGUAAAUUCGGGCUGUCCAUCAGUGUAAAAAACUGGUGAAGAAAGGGCCGGGCAAGACCGGUGCCAGCCGCCGCGGUAAUACCGGCGGCUCGAGUGGUGGCCACUAUUACUGGGCUUAAAGCGUCCGUAGCUGGAUUGUUAAGUCUCUUGGGAAAUCCGCCGGCUUAACC
rnacentral:rRNA from 1 species